rnacentral:lncRNA from 12 species
GUCUCCCUCUCUGAUUUUUCCCACUCAUUUUCUCUCCUUAACUAUUUUUCAUAUUUUGAAAGUAUCUUAAAACUUAUACGUUUAUUUUUAGUUACCUAAGAAUGAAAACCCCUUGAUUCUUUUCUUUGCUUUUAUAACUUUGUAUCUCAACCCUCUUUUCAUGUUGAGAGGCAAAUAAAAGAAACUCUUCACUAGCACCUAUGAGUUCGAUUGGCUGCACACGUCUUCAGCUUGAGGUCAGAGGUAAUAAGAGUGUGGGCCAAAAUGCUUAAAUGAGCAGGGCCUUAUCUGUGAAGGAGCCACAGAACCCAGGGGUCACACAUGAGAUAUUAUUAUUAUUUAUUUUUGUUUUUAGCUCAAAUUUAUGUGACCCAGAGUUUGUUAGGUCUUGGAAGUUUGGUGGGUUAGUCUACCAGAAAAAGUCAUUGUAACAGCAUGCCUUGAGGAAGUUAAUACUGAAAAGCAGACAUUUUAAAAAUGUGGACACCUAAUGAAGACAUCUGGGAAACAGAAACCCUCCUAAUAUUUUUAUUCACUGAUUCAGUCAUUCAAGAUCCUGUGUUGAACACCUGGAAGUGCUGGGAUGAAGUGAUGGCAGGACAUCUGCCCACAGGGCGUGAGCAUGUGCCAUCGGACUGAGGAGGAGACACAGAGAGAAUGGGUGAAAAUCAAAAGGUGUUCUUCAGCUCCAGCAACAUGUUCUCCCCAGUCGGUGCUCGUGGGUUUCCUGGGGCUGCUAUCUUGUGAAUACAUGCAUCACAGGACAAAGGGACAAAUCGCCAGAAUGGCAUAGGAGGUUUUGAAGGGGAGCUGGUGGAGUUCCUGAAAGUGACAUAAAAACUUGGUGAAGGAUCCAGACAACGAUCCACAGUUGUAAGGCUGAUGGAGCUCGAAGGGAAUUCAGGGGACCCUCAGUUGCUACUUCCUGGCUUUAAAUGGAGACGUGCCCACAGCGUGAGUUUUUCAAAUCAAAUCUUCAUAACCACAUGCUAAUUUAGAUUUUGCUUUCUUCCUAUAUGGAUGGUGGGACCUUCAGGAAAGAAAUAAGUCUUUACAUUGAAAUUUGUAAAAAAAAAAAAAAAAAAAGGUGCUAUUUAUUAGGACUUUUAUUACUGGGGCACCUGGGUGACCCAGUUGGUUAAGUGUCUGAUUUUUUAUUUCAGCUCAAGUCAUGAUCUCAGGGUUGUGAGAUUGAGUCCCAUGUCAGGCUUUGUGCUGGGCAUGGAGCCUGCUUAAGAUUCUUUCUGUCUCCCUCUGUCCAUCGCCCUCUCUUGAGCUCUCUCUCUAAAAAUAAAGAAAAAAUAAUCUUUAUUACUAAUAUUAAU